CCUACGGGCGGCAGCAGUGGGGAAUAUUGCACAAUGGGGGAAACCCUGAUGCAGCGACGCCGCGUGAGUGAAGAAGUAUUUCGGUAUGUAAAGCUCUAUCAGCAGGGAAGAAAAUGACGGUACCUGAUUAAGAAGCCCCGGCUAACUACGUGCCAUCAGCCGCGGUAAUACGUAGGGGGCAAGCGUUAUCCGGAUUUACUGCGUGUCAAGGGAGAGUAGACGGCAGCACAAGUCUGUAGUGAAAUGCCGGGGCUUAACCCCGGAACUGCUUUGGACACUGUGAAGCGAGAGUGCAGGAGAGGUAAGUGGAAUUCCUAGUGGAGCGGUGAAAUGCGUAGAUAUGAGGAGGAACACCAGUGGCGAAGGCGGCUUACUGGACUGUAACUGACGUUGAGGCGCGAAAGCGUGGGGAGCAAACAGGAUUAGAUACCCUUGUAGUC
rnacentral:rRNA from 1 species